ACGUUAGCGGCGGACGGGUGAGUAACACGUGGGUAACCUACCUAUAAGACUGGGAUAACUUCGGGAAACCGGAGCUAAUACCGGAUAAUAUUUCGAACCGCAUGGUUCGAUAGUGAAAGAUGGUUUUGCUAUCACUUAUAGAUGGACCCGCGCCGUAUUAGCUAGUUGGUAAGGUAACGGCUUACCAAGGCGACGAUACGUAGCCGACCUGAGAGGGUGAUCGGCCACACUGGAACUGAGACACGGUCCAGACUCCUACGGGAGGCAGCAGGA
rnacentral:rRNA from 1 species